rnacentral:rRNA from 1 species
GGUUAAGUUAGAAAGGGCGCACGGUGGAUGCCUUGACACUAGGAGUCGAUGAAGGACGGGACUAACGCCGAUAUGCUUCGGGGAGCUGUAAGUAAGCUUUGAUCCGAAGAUUUCCGAAUGGGGAAACCCACCAUACGUAAUGGUAUGGUAUCCUUAUCUGAAUACAUAGGGUAAGGAAGACAGACCCAGGGAACUGAAACAUCUAAGUACCUGGAGGAAGAGAAAGCAAAUGCGAUUUCCUGAGUAGCGGCGAGCGAAACGGAACAUAGCCCAAACCAAGAGGCUUGCCUCUUGGGGUUGUAGGACAUUCUAUACGGAGUUACAAAGGAACGAGGUAGACGAAGCGACCUGGAAAGGUCCGUCGUAGAGGGUAACAACCCCGUAGUCGAAACUUCGUUCUCUCUUGAAUGUAUCCUGAGUACGGCGGAACACGUGAAAUUCCGUCGGAAUCUGGGAGGACCAUCUCCCAAGGCUAAAUACUCCCUAGUGAUCGAUAGUGAACCAGUACCGUGAGGGAAAGGUGAAAAGCACCCCGGAAGGGGAGUGAAAGAGAUCCUGAAACCGUGUGCCUACAAAUAGUCAGAGCCCGUUAACGGGUGAUGGCGUGCCUUUUGUAGAAUGAACCGGCGAGUUACGAUCCCGUGCGAGGUUAAGCUGAAGAGGCGGAGCCGCAGCGAAAGCGAGUCUGAAUAGGGCGUUUAGUACGUGGUCGUAGACCCGAAACCAGGUGAUCUACCCAUGUCCAGGGUGAAGUUCAGGUAACACUGAAUGGAGGCCCGAACCCACGCACGUUGAAAAGUGCGGGGAUGAGGUGUGGGUAGCGGAGAAAUUCCAAUCGAACCUGGAGAUAGCUGGUUCUCCCCGAAAUAGCUUUAGGGCUAGCCUUAAGUGUAAGAGUCUUGGAGGUAGAGCACUGAUUGGACUAGAGGUCCUCAUCGGAUUACCGAAUUCAGUCAAACUCCGAAUGCCAAUGACUUAUCCUUAGGAGUCAGACUGCGAGUGAUAAGAUCCGUAGUCAAAAGGGAAACAGCCCAGACCGCCAGCUAAGGUCCCAAAGUGUGUAUUAAGUGGAAAAGGAUGUGGAGUUGCUUAGACAACUAGGAUGUUGGCUUAGAAGCAGCCACCAUUUAAAGAGUGCGUAAUAGCUCACUAGUCGAGUGACUCUGCGCCGAAAAUGUACCGGGGCUAAAUACACCACCGAAGCUGCGGAUUGAUACCAAUGGUAUCAGUGGUAGGGGAGCGUUCUAAGGACAGUGAAGUCAGACCGGAAGGACUGGUGGAGUGCUUAGAAGUGAGAAUGCCGGUAUGAGUAGCGAAAGACGGGUGAGAAUCCCGUCCACCGAAUGCCUAAGGUUUCCUGAGGAAGGCUCGUCCGCUCAGGGUUAGUCAGGACCUAAGCCGAGGCCGACAGGCGUAGGCGAUGGACAACAGGUUGAUAUUCCUGUACCACCUCUUUAUCGUUUGAGCAAUGGAGGGACGCAGAAGGAUAGAAGAAGCGUGCGAUUGGUUGUGCACGUCCAAGCAGUUAGGCUGAUAAGUAGGCAAAUCCGCUUAUCGUAAAGGCUGAGCUGUGAUGGGGAAGCUCCUUAUGGAGCGAAGUCUUUGAUUCCCCGCUGCCAAGAAAAGCUUCUAGCGAGAUAAAAGGUGCCUGUACCGCAAACCGACACAGGUAGGCGAGGAGAGAAUCCUAAGGUGUGCGAGAGAACUCUGGUUAAGGAACUCGGCAAAAUGACCCCGUAACUUCGGGAGAAGGGGUGCUUUCUUAACGGAAAGCCGCAGUGAAUAGGCCCAAGCGACUGUUUAGCAAAAACACAGCUCUCUGCGAAGCCGUAAGGCGAAGUAUAGGGGGUGACACCUGCCCGGUGCUGGAAGGUUAAGGAGAGGGGUUAGCGUAAGCGAAGCUCUGAACUGAAGCCCCAGUAAACGGCGGCCGUAACUAUAACGGUCCUAAGGUAGCGAAAUUCCUUGUCGGGUAAGUUCCGACCCGCACGAAAGGUGUAACGAUUUGGGCACUGUCUCAACCAGAGACUCGGUGAAAUUAUAGUACCUGUGAAGAUGCAGGUUACCCGCGACAGGACGGAAAGACCCCGUGGAGCUUUACUGUAGCCUGAUAUUGAAUUUUGGUACAGUUUGUACAGGAUAGGCGGGAGCCAUUGAAACCGGAGCGCUAGCUUCGGUGGAGGCGCUGGUGGGAUACCGCCCUGACUGUAUUGAAAUUCUAACCUACGGGUCUUAUCGACCCGGGAGACAGUGUCAGGUGGGCAGUUUGACUGGGGCGGUCGCCUCCUAAAGUGUAACGGAGGCGCCCAAAGGUUCCCUCAGAAUGGUUGGAAAUCAUUCGUAGAGUGCAAAGGCAUAAGGGAGCUUGACUGCGAGACCUACAAGUCGAGCAGGGACGAAAGUCGGGCUUAGUGAUCCGGUGGUUCCGCAUGGAAGGGCCAUCGCUCAACGGAUAAAAGCUACCCCGGGGAUAACAGGCUUAUCUCCCCCAAGAGUCCACAUCGACGGGGAGGUUUGGCACCUCGAUGUCGGCUCAUCGCAUCCUGGGGCUGUAGUCGGUCCCAAGGGUUGGGCUGUUCGCCCAUUAAAGCGGUACGCGAGCUGGGUUCAGAACGUCGUGAGACAGUUCGGUCCCUAUCCGUCGUGGGCGUAGGAAAUUUGAGAGGAGCUGUCCUUAGUACGAGAGGACCGGGAUGGACGCACCGCUGGUGUACCAGUUGUUCUGCCAAGGGCAUAGCUGGGUAGCUAUGUGCGGAAGGGAUAAGUGCUGAAAGCAUCUAAGCAUGAAGCCCCCCUCAAGAUGAGAUUUCCCAUAGCGUAAGCUAGUAAGAUCCCUGAAAGAUGAUCAGGUUGAUAGGUUCGAGGUGGAAGCAUGGUGACAUGUGGAGCUGACGAAUACUAAUAGAUCGAGGACUUAACCAU